CUGUCUUAGUGGCGGACGGGUGAGUAACGCGUGGGCAACCUGCCCUGUACCGGGGGAUGACACUUAGAAAUAGGUGCUAAUACCGCAUAAUAGGGAAUACCGCAUGGUAAUCCUUUGAAAACUCCGGUGGUACAGGAUGGGCCCGCGUCUGAUUAGCCAGUUGGCGGGGUAACGGCCCACCAAAGCGACGAUCAGCAGCCGGCCUGAGAGGGUGGACGGCCACACUGGGACUGAGACACGGCCCAGACUCCUACGGGAGGCAGCAG
rnacentral:rRNA from 1 species